rnacentral:ncRNA from 1 species
AAACAAAAAAAAGACAAUGAAAGCAAUGAUUAAGAAUACAUAUUGGUGGUGGCGCCCGUUACAACUCCGACAGUCGUAAGGGAGCAGCGCUCGUAUGUACCUAUAUCAAAUAAAGAUGGAACCAGAAAGCCCUG